rnacentral:rRNA from 1 species
AUUGAACGCUGGCGGCAGGCCUAACACAUGCAAGUCGAGCGGCAGCGGGAAAGUAGCUUGCUACUUUUGCCGGCGAGCGGCGGACGGGUGAGUAAUGCCUGGGGAUCUGCCCAGUCGAGGGGGAUAACUACUGGAAACGGUAGCUAAUACCGCAUACGCCCUACGGGGGAAAGCAGGGGACCUUCGGGCCUUGCGCGAUUGGAUGAACCCAGGUGGGAUUAGCUAGUUGGUGAGGUAAUGGCUCACCAAGGCGACGAUGCCUAGCUGGCCUGGAAGGAUGAUCAGCCACACUGGAACUGAGACACGGUCCAGACUCCUACUGGAGGCAGCAGUGGGGAAUAUUGCACAAUGGGGGAAACCCUGAUGCAGCCAUGCCGCGUGUGUGAAGAAGGCCUUCGGGUUGUAAAGCACUUUCAGCGAGGAGGAAAGGUUGGUAGCUAAUACCUGCCAGCUGUGACGUUACUCGCAGAAGAAGAACCGGCUAACUCCGUGCCAGCAGCCGCCGUAACAC